rnacentral:misc_RNA from 2 species
CCGAGUGCGGGCCCUCUGGGUCCAACCUCCCACCCGUGUUUAUCGUACCUUGUUGCUUCGGCGGGCCCGCCGUCCCUGGCCGCCGGGGGGCUCCUGCCCCCGGGCCCGCGCCCGCCGAAGACACCAUCGAACGCUGUCUGAAGAUUGCAGUCUGAGCUUAUUAGCUAAAUCGGUUA